rfam:Marivirga sericea strain DSM 4125 genome assembly, contig: LX91DRAFT_scaffold00001.1
GGAGAGGUGCCAGAGUGGUCGAUCGGGCUCGCCUGGAAAGCGAGUGUGCCUUCACGGGUACCGAGGGUUCGAAUCCCUCCUUCUCCG